CGAACCGAGCAAACGUUAUUCGGAAUCACUGGGCUUAAAGGGCGCGUAGGCGGGCCAUCAAGUCUGUGGUGAAAUCCUCCAGCUUAACUGGAGAACGGCCGCGGAUACUGGUGGCCUCGAGGAAGGUAGGGGGCAUCUGGAACUGGUGGUGGAGCGGUGAAAUGCGUUGAUAUCAUCAGGAACUCCGGUGGCGAAGGCGAGAUGCUGGACCUUUUCUGACGCUGAGGCGCGAAAGCCAGGGGAGCGAACGGGAUUAGAUACCCCGGUAGUCCUGGCCCUAAACGAUGGGUACUAGAUAGUGGACUUGGCAUGGGUUCACUGUCGAAGCAAAGUGCUAAGUACCCCGCCUGGGGAGUAUGGUCGCAAGGCUG
rnacentral:rRNA from 1 species